rnacentral:rRNA from 1 species
AGUGAACGCUGGCGGCGUGCUUAACACACGCAAGUCGAACGAGAACGGGUUAUAGCUUGCUAUAAUUGUCAGCUAAGUGGCGCACGGGUGAGUAAUGUAUAGGUAAUAUGCCUCUUACUAAGGGAUAACAAUUGGAAACGAUUGCUAAUACCUUAUACUCCUUGUUAACAGAAGUUAAUAAGGGAAAGAUUUAUUGGUAAGAGAUUAGCCUGUAUUGUAUCAGUUAGUUGGUGGGGUAGUGGCUUACCAAGACUAUGACACAUAACUGGUUUGAGAGGAUGAUCAGUCACACUGGAACUGAGACACGGUCCAGACUCCUACGGGAGGCAGCAGUGGGGAAUAUUGCACAAUGGACGAAAGUCUGAUGCAGCAACGCCGCGUGGAGGAUGACACAUUUCGGUGCGUAAACUCCUUUUAUAUGAGAAGAUAAUGACGGUAUUAUAUGAAUAAGCACCGGCUAACUCCGUGCCAGCCGCCGCCGUAACAC